rnacentral:lncRNA from 10 species
GGCUCCUUGAAGACGCCCGUGGUGAGAUCAGCCCCAGGUCGCCGCUUCCACAGACAGGCCUUUUCCUAAAGUGGAUGAAGGGAGUCAAAUAGGCCAGGUUCGUGUCUUGAUCUGCCUUUGCUGUCAUUCACGCAUCUGUCCUCAUGAAGGCUUAACCUACCAUGUUUAUCAGAAAUCUCAGCCUAAAUUCAUUCGAUUUUUACCUAGAGAUGAGGAAUGUGUUAAAUCACUCUACUCCACAAGGAACCAAACCAAACAGCAUCAGCACCAGGCUGAGUCGCGGAAAGGAUCUGUCAGACCGCUCCACUGGCAUCGACUCAGCUCGGGAGCUACGUUCAAAGAAGGGGGACAUUUAAGGUGAAAGGGUUGCAGGCAGAGGGGCCUGGAGCAGCAGGAGGCCACCUCCCAAAGGCUCCACUCCCAGGGGCCAACAGAGAGACCACAUCCAGAAUUGAACCAGGGAUACGCAGACACCAACGGAGAAGACAUGAGCGUCAACCUCCUCCACGGAGCAGCACGGCUUCUCUACUGACAUCCAUGAACUAGACUACAACUCUCUAAGUUAAUCAAAUUUACUAAGUUAGUUAUCACCGACAUCACUGUUCCAUGUCAAAUCCAUGGAUUCAUGAGUCAAAGAAACAGCAGUGAACAGCCUUCAGGCUACGGUUUGGGCCAUUCCUCUGCCAGCGUAUUCCAGCCAAAGUCUGUUUUCCUAUCAGACUACUCACUGCAAGGCACAGAAGUGAGCGCGGGAUCUAAGGCCACACCGCAGGGUCUGAACUCACUUAACUGGCCCAACACUGCACAAGAUACUUAAUCCUCCUGAACCUCAGUUUCUUCAUCUGCGUACGGGGGAUAUGAACCCCCACAUGCUGGACUGCUCUGAGAAUUGAGUUAAUGCGUGUAAAACAUGAGAGCUGCUCUGGCACCCACCAGGCGCUCACCGGGCGCCAGCACCACCAGUGCAUACCUCGACCGUGUGUGGGCGCACAGGCCUCCGUUCCUUUUUACUCCGACCGAUGCUUCUAAGGAAGUCUUCGACCGCUUUUUCUGUCUGAGGCAUCUGCUGAGGAGUCGCAUUCACUGAACACCUGUUUGAAAAAUUAUGUAUACAUAAAACCACUGUUAGAAAAAACAGUUUUAGUAAUUCAUCACAUUUUGUAUAACUCAAUAAUGUUGUUUUUAUAGAAAAUACUGUUCAGAGUGUUAAACAGCAGCCAAAUGUGGAAAUGCCACGGCCGCCUCCCUGCUCUUCAGUGCUUCAGGUUAUCAAGAGAUUUCCGCACAGUUCAAUGUGGCAGCUAAUGAAGCCGUCCAUACGCGGAGCCUGUGACUCUAAACUCUAGUUCUUCUGAAGAGCAAAGAAAAUACAGAGACUAUUAAGAUCUGCUAACCGUGCCUUCGGAAUUACACUAUCAAAACACUGACAACUUUUAAAAUUACUGUCCAGAAGUCAUCAAUUUGAAAAUGUGAACUGGUUGUUAAAGCAGAACAUUAUAAACUGCAAAAAAAUACCAUGCUCUCAAAGUUACAUGAAAAUAGAACUCUUCCAAAUUCCACAGAAUUGCAAAUACUACUAUCAUAUAAAAGCUACUUGAACUCUACAGUAUAUUGACAGAGUGUAUAUUUUUUCCUUUCAGCUGUAAAUCCUGAACUUAUUCUAGUUAAAGUAACAGCAGGUACCAUUAUAUUAAUACUAACUAUAUCCCAGGCAUGUAUGCUGCCUUGCAGAUAUUCUUUCUUUUAUUCCUUACGAUAAACCUGCAAAGGAAGGUUUUAUGGAGGAGGAAGCAGAAGACGCAAGUGGGUCAGCUGCCCAGGACCGCCUGGGAGCGAGUGUGAGUGCUGACCCGGCGGCACCAGAAGCCAGGCCUGCCUGAGCCCAAUGCCAAGAGACCCUGAUCGCCAGGCUUCACCUCUGGCCACCCACAGACCGCCCUGUAGAAUCUGCCAGGGAUUCUCAGGACAUGACUGGGGAAAGGCAUCAGGACUCUGUGUGAAGAAGGACAAGUGACUUCAGCAAACAUUUUCUUGUUAAGUACUGAUGAAUACAUCAAUGUCACUGACAAUAAGAUGCUGAAAAUAAACAAUCAUUUUUAAACUUUAUUCAUGCUCACACAUCUGAGGGCAUAAGGCCAACUGAAGGUAUAGGACUGAGCUGCCAGAUGUUUCCUCAAAGCAUCACAUAAUUUUAUAAGAAACUGCACUUUUACUCUGGUCUUCAGCAAGCUCACCUUUACAGAUACCUCAGUUACGGACCAUGUGCUUUUGGAAGCAAUAUAACUACUUGCCCUCAAUCUAUUUGCACUUCUAGCACAAAAUUAGCCUGCUUUCUUCCCCAUCUCCUACAACUUUUAAUAGGCUUAAAAUAUUUUCUUAGUUUGUUAGAACACUUGACAUUUACAAUAAAUUCUAUAACCUUUAGCAUGGUGCUAUUCCUGGCUUCAGGCAUCUGCUGGAGUGCAGUGGCACCGUCACAGCUCACUGCAGCCUCAAGCAAUCCUCCAGCCUCAGCCUCCUCAGUAGCCGGGACUACCAGGACUACACCACCACACUUGGUUUUGGACCAUAUUUCAAGAUAACCCGAUAGCCCAGCUGAUGUGGAGCUCUUCUUUGAAGAAGUCCAGCAAACAAAUGAAGAAGUUACAGAACUAGAAAACUUCGCAAACUCU